GAAUUUUCUCCUGGCACAAUCGUUUAAAUCUUUUGGCUUUUACUCAAGAUUUCCGUGUGCUGGAUACGAGGCAAGUUCUUGCUAAUUUUUGGAGUGCGGUGCUCUCACCGCAU
rnacentral:snRNA from 1 species